CUGCAGCCAUUUAAGCUGACAGUGCCGCCCUCCCCAUGGCACCCGGUGUGUGGUGUCUGCAAACAGCAGCCUCCUGGGUAGUGCAUGCAGCCCGUUGCUUGUACAGGCUGGUCUAAGGGACCCUGGAGCCCUUC
ensembl:snoRNA SNORA70 Small nucleolar RNA SNORA70